rnacentral:lncRNA from 1 species
CAUCUGGUAGAAGGUGGAUCGCUGCUGGUGUCAUAAACUUUCUAAGACAGUGCCUUGCCUGAAGACUAUGAGUUUCUGUGCAUCCUAGGACCUUUAUGGAAAUUAGAUAAUUUUUGAUGAAGUUAAACAAUUAUAUUAUAAGAAACUCCUCAAAUCAAGAAUAAAUAAAAACAAGAGUAGCAUUAAAAUUUACUGCAGAGUACAUUAAUACAGUUCAAAUCUAAAUGUCUGCUCUUGCAUUUCUGUGACUUUUCAUGCCAUGCUGAAAAUCUGGAAUGGAAACUCUCAUCCAUCUUGGUGAUUUCCUAGUGCCCUGAGGAUGACUUCAUUUAAAAGCAUUUGAAGAUUUAAGUUCUUUCUGAGAUGUGCUCUUGUUUUCAGGAAUAAAAGUG